GACGAACGCUAGCGGCGUGCUUAACACAUGCAAGUCGAGCGGUAAGGCCCUUCGGGGUACACGAGCGGCGAACGGGUGAGUAACACGUGGGUGAUCUGCCUUGCACUCUGGGAUAAGCCUGGGAAACUGGGUCUAAUACCGGAUAUGAGCUUGGAUUGCAUGGUUUGGGGUGGAAAGGUUUACUGGUGCGAGAUGGGCCCGCGGCCUAUCAGCUUGUUGGUGGGGUAACGGCCUACCAAGGCGACGACGGGUAGCCGACCUGAGAGGGUGACCGGCCACACUGGGACUGAGACACGGCCCAGACUCCUACGGGAGGCAGCAGUGGGGAAUAUUGCACAAUGGGCGAAAGCCUGAUGCAGCGACGCCGCGUGAGGGAUGACGGCCUUCGGGUUGUAAACCUCUUCUGACAGGGACGAAGCGCAAGUGACGGUACCUGUAGAAGAAGCACCGGCCAACUACGUG
rnacentral:rRNA from 1 species